rnacentral:rRNA from 1 species
UACGUAGGUGGCAAGCGUUAUCCGGAAUUAUUGGGCGUAAAGCGCGCGCAGGUGGUUUCUUAAGUCUGAUGUGAAAGCCCACGGCUCAACCGUGGAAGGUCAUUGGAAACUGGGAGACUUGAGUGCAGAAGAGGAAAGUGGAAUUCCAUGUGUAGCGGUGAAAUGCGUAGAGAUAUGGAGGAACACCAGUGGCGAAGGCGACUUUCUGGUCUGUAACUGACACUGAGGCGCGAAAGCGUGGGGAGCAGACAGG